GGCCCGGUAGCUCAGUCGGUAGAGCAGCGGACUGAAAAUCCGUGUGUCGGUGGUUCGAACCCGCCCCAGGCCACCA
rnacentral:tRNA from 2 species